UACGGGGGGGGCAAGCGUUGUUCGGAAUCACUGGGCGUAAAGCGCACGUAGGCGGAUUGUUAAGUCAGGGGUGAAAUCCUGGAGCUCAACUCCAGAACUGCCUUUGAUACUGGCGAUCUUGAGUCCGGGAGAGGUGAGUGGAACUGCGAGUGUAGAGGUGAAAUUCGUAGAUAUUCGCAAGAACACCAGUGGCGAAGGCGGCUCACUGGCCCGGUACUGACGCUGAGGUGCGAAAGCGUGGGGAGCAAACAGG
rnacentral:rRNA from 1 species